rnacentral:lncRNA from 1 species
GGCGUGCCCGGCGUGCUGUGCGUCCCCUCCGGAAGGACUGGGCGUGCCCGGCGUGCUGUGCGUCUCCUCCGGAAGGACUGGGCGUGCCCGGCGUGCUGUGCGUCCCCUCCGGAAGGACUGGGCGUGCCCGGCGUGCUGUGCGUCUCCUCUGGAAGGACUGGGCGUGCCCGGCGUGCUGUGCGUCCCCUCCGGAAGGACUGGGCAUGCAGUCUGUAGAGUCCGUCCACACGAAGAAGACUCCCAUCCACACCUUCCAGGUGGACCACCUGCUACAUGGAGUUAGAAGCCAGGAAUCACGUGACUGCCCGCCCAAUCGUGACCCAUCACAGGCUCUGUGCACAAGACCCUGCACUUGAUGGAUCAGCUGGCACCACCCAGACCUGCAAACUGGCUCAUCCGUUGUGGCCCCCACCCAGGAACUGACUCUGCACGAGAAAACAGCUUCGGAUCCCUAUGAUUUCAUCUCUGACCAAACCAAUCAGCACUCUCAACUCACUGGCCUUCCCCGCCCACCAAAUUAUCCUUUACAACUCUGAUCCCCGAAUCCAGAUCAGGGAAUCUGAUCUGAGUCAUAAUAAAACUCCAGUUUCCCACACAGCUGGCUGUGCAUGAACUACUCUUUCUCUAUUGCAAUUUCCCUGUCUUGAUAAAUUGGCUGAGUCCAGGCAACCGGCAAGGUGAACCCACUGGGCGGCUACAUUACCACGGCUCAAGGCGUUGUGCUUGGAGCCUACGUCCAUGGAAGAGGAGGACUCCGUCAUGGAAUUGUGAAUCAUGUCAUUUUCUGGAUCAACAGAGGGUCACACUGACUACGCGGCCCUAUUUUUCCUGGCUUUCUGCACAGACAUUUAAAGUCAUUUUUAUUGAGGCGUGAUUUGGGGUGUCCUGAUAAGAAGAGGAGCUGAGGACACAGACAUGUCCAGCGGGACCUUGGGAGGACAUAGAGGGAAGACGCCUUCUGCAAACCACUGAGAGAGGCCUCGAGGAACCAGCCCUGGCCGACACCUUGAUAUGGGACUUCCAGCCUCCAGGACGAUGCGGUCUCUACCUGGCCUCCCCCAUGUUGACUGCUUUUGUACUGCACCCAUGGAGACAAAGAAAAGACAAAGAAGACGGAACCUCCAUGUUGAAUAUACCUGGUUCCAGGGCGAGGUUCAGCAAUUACAAUAGUGACAUCAGAGAUCGCUGAUAACAGAUCAUCAUCACAGAUGUGAUAACAAGAAAAAAAUGAGAUAUUUUUAUCAUUGAUGUGAUGGCAAAUAUUGAGUAUCAACUUGAUUGAAUUGAAGGAUGCAAGGUAUUAUUCCUGGGUGUGUCUGUGAGGGUGUUGCCAAAGGAGGUUAACAUUUGAGUUGGUGAACUGGGAAAGGCAGACCCACCCUCAGUCUGGGUGGGCACCAUCUAAUCAGCUGCCAGCAUGGCUAGGAUAAAAGCAGGCAGAGGAAGGUGGACGGACUAGACUUGUUAAGUCUUCUGGCCUCCAUCUUUCUCCUGUGCUGGAUGCUUCCUGCCCUCGAACAUUGGACUCCAAGUUCUUCAGCUUCUGGACUCUUGGACCUACACCAGUGGUUUGCAGGGGCUCUCGGGCCUUUGACCACAGACUGAAGGCUGCACUGUCGGCUUCCCUACUUCUGAGAUUUUGGAACUUGGACUGGCUUCCUUGCUCCUCAGCUUGCAGAAGGCCUAUUGUGGGCCUUCACCUUGUGAUCAUAUGAGUCAAUUCUCCUUAAUAAACUCCGUUUCAUAUAUACAUCUAUCCGAUCAGUCCUGUCCCUCUAGGGAACCCUGACUAAUACAAUUGUCAAAAUGUGACACAGAGGCACAAAGUGAGCACCUGCUGUAGGAAAAAUGGUGCUGAUAGACUUGACUCAGGGUUGCCACAAAAUUCAGUUUGUAAAAAACACAGUAUCUGCAUAAUGCAAUAAAAGAAGAUAGGCAUGCCAUAUUCUUCAUGAUUUUCAUGGGAAUAUAGUGUAUCUUUAGAGAGCACUGUCCAUUUAUAAUAAUCCUACACUUAAAUAAACAUUUUUCAUUACCCUUUCUAAAAAUAAUUUUAGUAGUUCAGUUUAAUUGCUAUUUUAUCUAUUGAAGGUUCAUUAAUUAAACUCAAUAAGUUACUUAAAAAAAAAUCCUUAUUGUUGAUAAUGCCUGAAAUUAAUGCACUCUGGAGUAUCUGUUUACAAGAUGAAACUGUCGUACUAAUUAUAACUAAAACAAACACUUUACCUCAAGCCUCUCACUUAGCCAAAAAGUGACCUAUUAUGGGAAAACACACAAACAAAGUGAUAGUUACUGAGCCCAAAACUUAAUAAAUGGAAGUGAAGAGUUCCGAAAAAGGGCUGUAUGUUACAAACGAUCUUUGAAAGCAACAGUGUUAGGAAUGCAAUUAUAACAUUUGCACAGUGACUCUUUUGUUAUUUAGUAUCUUACGUAUUUUUUCAUUUGAUCCAAACAAUUGCCCAGCUAGGAAGUUUUUCUGAGUAUGAUUCUCUUUUUUUUUUAAAUAUCAUGUAAACCAAGAUUCUAGGAAAAAAAAAAAGACUCAAAUCUAACAUCAUCAUUGUGAAAGAGGUAAGACUUGAAUUUGUAUUUCUUAUCACUUUUUUUUCAUAAAACUCUUUCUGUUCCCACAGGUGGCCUUUUCUAAUAACCAGUAUCACAACGGGCCUUCUUAAUGUGGGUUUUUAAAACCACAAACAAAAACCAUUAGCUUCAAACCUUUGAAGACUACUUAAAAAUAAAUGCGCAUAAUUCUAGGGGGAAUAGUCUCACCAAAUAAUCAUUUGCAAAGCCCUUUGUAAUUAAGUACAGGGGACAUUACUGGGAUGCAAUGUUCCGUAAAGAGCUCGACUGUUGUUCUUGCAAGAAUGCACCCAAACAAUGAUAAUAAGUGAAACAAUGAUUGAUAAAAUGAUAGCAAUGCUCAAUUUCCAAAUCAGAAUUUGCCUGCCAAUUGAUGUCGGAAAGAACAUCCUUUUCUGAGAACUGGCGUCCUCUUAGAAAGGUUUUUGAAGGGCAAAGGUCUGGUCUUCAUCAUAUCGCUCAGUUUUCUUUUUUCUUUCAUUAUAAGUAUCCUCGUAGGAUAAAUUUUAAUCUGAACCUAAACUAAUUCCCUGUCAAACAAACUAGAAAUGAAAACUUUUACAAAGGUACUAAAGGGCAACCCUUGGAACGAACUCUCUUUGGUUAUGCCUAGACUAGAAAAAAGCUAUUUUUAUUAGGUACAGAAGUAGACCUGAGUGUUGGACUCUGGAAUAGGCACCACCUUGCCCAGGCAGAGAGGAAAUGAGCAUGACUCUUCCUCAGUCAGUGAUAUUAACAAGCCGAAGGCAGCAGAAGACUGAUCAAGGCAGAAGGGUGACUGGUUUAUGAAAGAGCUGAACUAUUUAUUAGCCCACAUUAAUCUCACAUACAAAUAAAUAUAUGUGAAAAUUUAGAGUAAGAAACUUGAGGCCAGCUCCUAGAUGUGCAGUUUACAGAGCAAAGUUCCACUAAAAUUCUGCGUCACUCUCUGUGUGAGUCAUUUAUUUAAUUUUUAAACAAGCAUAAGGUGUCUUUGUGUUCACUCAAUGUAUCAGGCAUUGUUUUGAACACCUAAUCAAAGAAAGCAGAGAUGUGAUGUCUGCCCCCAUAGGAGGUUAUUGACCAGUUGCACUGACAGCUGAAAUAUCCACAAGCCUGAGACACGUCCUGGGCCACGGUCGUGGUAGGAACAGCAUGCUGUGGAAACAGGCGGGUGACACACCACGUCAAUCUGGACCUUUCUAAGGCUUCCUGGGGGAGGUGACACUCCGGAUGGGAUACAGAAGAUCAAACAGAGACUAUUUAAGAGUGUGAGAACAGAGACCAGGUAAGAACAUGGAGAGUAUGAGAAUGCCAAACGCAAGGUGAGGUAGGCCUGGUGCAAAUGUGCUAAGUCUUAAAAAGUUAGGGUGAACGCAGACUCCCAGGCCUCGAUGAAAGCCAAGAACUCAGAUCAUUCAUAUGAAUGCUAAUAAAAUAGGCAGGAGAGGUAAAGAGGAGGGUUCAGAAAAUAAACAUAUUCGCAUAUCAUCAACAACCUGAUCGAUCAAAAAUGACUAGGAAUGGUAUGUAUUCAAUUGCUGAGGCUGGGAAGGAUCAUGAAAUCUCAGACACGCUCAUGGAUUGUCAUUUUACAAAAGGGCUGAAUUGUGCAUUUAUAUGCUCAUAAUAAUAUAGUAAUAUAUAAUAUAAUAUAAAACUUGUAUAUAUAUGCUCAUAAAAAUGUGUAAUAUGUAUGCUCAUAAUAAUAUAGGUAAUAUUACAUAUUACAUAUUACCUAUAUUAUUACCUAUACCUGUGUAAUAAUUGUAUAAUUAUCACAUGCAUGCUCAUAAUGUCAUAUAUAUGCUUAUAAUAAUAUAGGUAAUAUAUAAUAUAAUAUAAUACCUGUGUAAUAAUUUAUAAUUAUCAUAUGUAUUUUCAUAAUAAUAUGUCAUAUAUAUGUUCAUAAUAAUGUAGGUAACAUAAUAUUAUAAUACCUGUGUAAUAAUUGUAUAAUUAUUAUAUGUAUGCUUAUAGUAAUAUGUCAUAUAUAUGCUCAUAAUAAUAUAAGUAAUAGAUAUUAUAAUACCUGUGUAAUUGUAUAAUUAUCAUAUGUAUGCUCAUAAUAAUAUGCCAUAUAUAUGCUCAUAAUAAUAUAGGUAAUAUAUAAAAUUAUAGUAUAUGCGUGUGUAAUAAUUCUAUAAUUAUUAUAUGUGUGCUCAUAAUAAUAUAUAAUAUAUGCUCAUAAUAAUAUAGGUAAUAAACACUAUUAUAAUACACUGUUAUAAUACAGUUGUGCAAACAUUGUAUAAUAAGUAAUCAUAUAUAUGUUAAUAAUAAUCUCCAAAAGUAAAUAUGAUAAUUUCCCCAUCUUACAUAGAAUUGGAAACUAAGUCAAGAGCAGUUAAAAGACCUGCUCGAUGUCACAAGGCAAGUCGCAGGGGCCCGGGGUUUGUACACAGGCAGUGUUUCUCCAGCGUCUGUGCACGUACUCACCAUAUCCCUCCUUCUUUCCGUGUGGAUGCAUGCUGCUUUUGAGCGAGAGUUUGGCAUUUUUCAUAAGAGUCAAAGAAAAGCACCUGAGAUGCGUCAGGGCCCACCGCCGGCGCUGAGGAUGGAACAGUGAACACAGCAAGCCACGUCCUUCCUCCUAGGGCCCAUAUUCUGAUGGAAGGAGUCAGACGAAAGGCAGAGAAAUGCAAUAGAAAAUCGAAUACUGCAUGUGAUGAUUGAUAAGUGAAAUCUAAACAUUGGGUACUCGUGGACACGAAGAGGGGAACAACAGACGCUGUGGACAACUAGAGCGUACGGGUGGAAAAGUCUCAAGCCACCAGCUCAGCAGCUGCAUCUUCAAGGAGGCAUCUGGCAGGGAGGCUGCAGCUGGAGCACUGAUUGGCGACAUUCAUCACAGCUCACUGUCGUGCUCUGGGAUCUGGCUGGUCUUUAAAGGAUACAUCUGCUGAGGUAAAUGGAGAUAUAGUGAGGACCACCCCACCACAGCUCUUAGGUCCUUCAUAGUGGCAGUAAUUUUUGCCUUUCCCCCUCUGGGAUGUAGUACCAUUUUUGAUGCAUUGUUUAGACAAGGGGAAGAAAGUUUUUGAGGCUUUCACUUCAUCUUAAGUACAAUAAUCAUCACUCCACAAGUCAAGGAACAAAUAUGGAGGUUUCUUCAACAACCAGAGAUAUUUGAGGGCAGUGGAAAUAACCAUAAGGUGGAGGUGGCCAGUGGGAACCAUGUUGAGCCAGGCUUGCAUCAGAACUCCAUUUAUCACCUGACCUCACCUCGCGCCUACUCUAUGAGGAGGCUUUAAUGUCACCUUAGCUCUUAAGGUACCAAUGACAACAAGAACUUUGCAUCAGACAGGCCUCAAAAUGCAUUUUUCCCCAGUGUGCAGUCUCCCAAGUAAAGAUACUGGAAGGACUGGAGAAUCUUUACGCUGGACGCCUUCCUUGGAACCGCAAGAACUUCAGCUCUCCUUCAAGCAGUGGGGCCUGCGUCUGAAAACUGGAUCCACUUGAAGCACACAAAGAGUCUUGACUUUUUAGUUUUUUUUUUUUUUUUUUGCGGUGCCUGCCCUCUGCCUCCUGACCACCCCUGCGGUAUUUAUUCCUAUUGAGCAGACUGGGAAGUGACGCUAGGUGCGUGUGAGCAGAGAUACUGUAUUUUAUGAACAAUCUUCAUAACUCCCUGUGGGUCAAUCCCAUAACUCCCUGGCUGCCACUCCAGCCUUUCCAGCCAUUAUGACAAUUCACCCCACCUGGCUUGUGACAGUUAAGCAUUACCAUGUGGCCUCUACUUUUCGAGGUUCGAGUAUCCCUAUUGAUCCUCAUAAGCCAGGUCUUGAAACUGAACCACCCACCAUCAGUCCUGGCCUGCAGAAAGGAGCAAGAUCAGAGCCUCCCAGGAUGUGAGGACCACGCCCCCGGCAUGCUGUUUAUUGUGUUGCUGUGCCCAUUGCCAGCCAGUCAGCCUGGUGCAGGCUGAUUAAAACUCUUAGGCAGUUGCCUCAAAGAGACAUUAAGCCUUGCUUGAAUUAAAUGCUGACACACAUUAGACACUAGAACUUUCAUAUGGUUCCAUGUCAUUGUGAAAUUGAUGGAGUUUCUCUGUUUGUUUCUUUAAUUUUAAUUUUUCUAAAGCACAAGAUUGAAAUAAGCCUCGCUAUUAGGUAGUUGAGAGAUAAGCUUGGUAUUCACUGUGGGAAAUCUUUAUGACAGACGUUAUUGUUUGGGGUAUGUAUUAAGAGAAAUGGUUAAACUGUGAAGGCCUCUAAGCUAAACUCUGGCUUUUGGAUCAUAAAACCUCUUCCAUUUACACAAAUAAAUUACAUUAUGUUACUUUCUCCUGUUUUAUAGCUGAAAAUACCAAGUGUUUUGGUAGACAAAUGACAAGCUAUCAGCCUGUCCCUAUUGCAAGUUGCAGACAGAUGUUUGAUAACCACAGUUAUCACAGAUGGAAGGGGCUGUGUCGAGACACCUUCUCCUGGGGGGCUAUUAGUCUCUGAUCUGUGAUAUGCUGUGGGGGAAGAGAGAAGAAAAUAGGAAGCACCAGCAUUACAGCCAUUUAUCACCCACCACUGUGUGUGGAAUAAAUGGAUCCUCUUUCAAGAUAGUCUAUUAUCUGCCGCUUGCCGGCUUCAUGCUGUCAUAUGUUUUUUUCAGUAGUCAAUAAAUUGCUGAAGGCCACAUUUGGAGAGUAAGUACCGCUGUAUGUCUAACUUUAUAUAUUGUUCUUUUAUUUACUGCAGCAUUUACCCAUUUUCUGGAGAGUCUACUAUAUACAUGGAGGUUUUAUUUUUUUUAUACUUACCAGAUCAUUUUAUGGAUGAUAGUUUACCAAAUUUAUUUUUAUAAUAAAUAAACCAACAAAACAUAGCUUUAGAAAAAAUCUUGUCCCUGCCUCAAAGUAUUUAAACACGCCCACACUUCAGCUUCUCAGAAAGAAACCUGCCCACUCCUUCAUUUAAUCUUGUCUUUCUUUCAAUCUGUGCUUUCUUCAACCAGUGUGCACACCACAUAUGGGACCCUAUAAACCAUGUAUUAAUUGGUGCAGAACACCACUUUCCUUUAACAUUAAAGGUGAAUAACUAGGAAUUAUUUCCUAAUCUCUAUUUUAUAAAUGCAGGGGAAAAGAGGCAAGGUUGAGAUUCAUUCCAGAGUGUUUACAGGUAAGGAAUUUUCAACAACCUUUGUUCUGCCCAGCCAGGCAUUCACCCACUAAUUUAUUAGGGACAAGAUCAAUAGCCUCAACGAGAUUGUAGUGCUUAAC